AAAUUGAAGAGUUUGAUCAUGGCUCAGAUUGAACGCUGGCGGCAGGCCUAACACAUGCAAGUCGAGCGGCAGCGGGAAAGUAGCUUGCUACUUUUGCCGGCGAGCGGCGGACGGGUGAGUAAUGCCUGGGGAUCUGCCCAGUCGAGGGGGAUAACAGUUGGAAACGACUGCUAAUACCGCAUACGCCCUACGGGGGAAA
rnacentral:rRNA from 1 species